rnacentral:rRNA from 1 species
UGAGGAAUAUUGGUCAAUGGGCGGAAGCCUGAACCAGCCAUGCCGCGUGCAGGAAGACGGCCCUACGGGUUGUAAACUGCUUUUCCGGGGGAAGAAUAAGGCCCACGUGUGGGCCGAUGCCGGUACCCCGGGAAUAAGGAUCGGCUAACUCCGUGCCAGCAGCCGCGGUAAUACGGAGGAUCCGAGCGUUAUCCGGAUUUACUGGGUUUAAAGGGUGCGUAGGCGGGCGCUUAAGUCAGCGGUGAAAUGCGGGGGCUCAACCUUCGAACGGCCGUUGAUACUGGGCGCCUUGGAUUCGGUCGAGGCGGGCGGAAUGCGACAUGUAGCGGUGAAAUGCUUAGAUAUGUCGCAGAACGCCGAUUGCGAAGGCAGCUCGCCGGGCCGAUAUUGACGCUGAGGC